rnacentral:rRNA from 1 species
AUUGAACGCUGGCGGCAUGCCUUACACAUGCAAGUCGAACGGCAGCAUGAUCUAGCUUGCUAGAUUGUUGGCGAGUGGCGAACGGGUGAGUAAUACAUCGGAACGUACCUUAUUGUGGGGGAUAACGCAGCGAAAGCUGUGCUAAUACCGCAUAAUCCCUAAGGGGGAAAGCGGGGGACCGUAAGGCCUCGCGCAAUUAGAGCGGCCGAUACCUGAUUAGCUAGUUGGUGAGGUAAAGGCUCACCAAGGCAACGAUCAGUAGCUGGGCUGAGAGGACGAUCAGCCACACUGGGACUGAGACACGGCCCAGACUCCUACGGGAGGCAGCAGUGGGGAAUUUUGGACAAUGGGGGCAACCCUGAUCCAGCAAUGCCGCGUGAGUGAAGAAGGCCUUCGGGUUGUAAAGCUCUUUUGUCAGGGAAGAAACAGCAGCUCUAACACAGUAUGCGAAUGACGGUACCUGAAGAAUAAGCACCGGCUAACUACGUGCCAGCCGCCGCGGUAAAAC